AAAAUACCGCUAAUUUGGAACCGAGCGUCCGCAUGCAGUUUGUACAUGAUUCCUCUGAUAACGGAAAAUGUGCAUGUAUCACUCCCACUCUCUCACUCUGGAGUUGAAGUUAAAUAUGAAGACGAAGCUACCCCACGAAUGGUAAAUUGUUUAUCUGAUAAUAAGAAUUUGGAACAAAUCACACCUACUUUGUCUAUAAUUUCUGAAGGAGAUGAACAAAUUAAGGUUGUAGAUGCAACUCACUCACUCUUACUUAUAACAAAAACAGGUAAGAAAUUACACCCUUUCAUUUGAAGAAAUUGUAGAUAAUGUGACUGAUUUACGUGUUUCUGCACACCAAGUAAUGGACGAUGGGAACGAUUUGCGAAAAACAGUCGGUGACAAUACCUAUAGUAACCACAAACAUCAAGUGCGGAAGACUAUCAUGUAACAGAAGAUAAUUUGUAUUACGAAUAUUCAGUGGAAUCAAGACAAUACUUUGCAUUUGAGUAACAAUUAAUUUUGCAAGUACUUUCAAUUUUGUUUUAAAUAAGAUUCAGAAAUGCUA